GGCGGCACAGGGCUAUAAUUCCUGCUAUUUGAAAGGCAGAAACAAGAGGAUCAGGGUUUAAGACCUUACCUCAUAAAACAAAGUGGGAAUAAUGGCAUUCUAAUAGCCACUACCUGGAAGGCUAAAGGUAGGAUGAUUGUAGUCAGAGGCUGGCUGGG